rnacentral:misc_RNA from 1 species
GAUGAAGAACGUAGCGAAAUGCGAUAAGUAAUGUGAAUUGCAGAAUUCAGUGAAUCAUCGAAUCUUUGAACGCACCUUGCGCCCUUUGGCCAUUCCGAAGGGCAUGCCUGUUUGAGUAUCAUGAACACCUCAACUCUCAUGGCUUGCCAUGAUGAGCUUGGACUUUGGGGGUCUUGCUGGCCUGUGGUCGGCUCCUCUCAAAUGAAUCAGCUUGCCAGUGUUUGGUGGCAUCACAAGUGUGAUAACUAUCUGCGCUCGUGGUUUCCAUCAGAUAACCUCCAGUGAUGGAGGUUCGCUGGGGCUCAUAAAUGUCUCUCCUAAGUGAGGACAGCUCUUUUAAUGUUUGAUCUCAAAUCAGGUAGGACUACCCGCUGAACUUAAGCAUAUCAAUUAAGCGGAGGA